rnacentral:lncRNA from 1 species
CCAGGCUUGGGAGCUGGGAAAAGGCCCCAGGAGCUAGGGCAUCCUGAUUGUUCUUUCAAAGAAAUCCCUCUUGUUCUUAGUCAACAUGCUGGAUACCAGCUAAAAAAUGCAAAAUGAUCUUCAGGCAGGGAUGGCACAGGACCCUUGCUGAGCUGUGAAGCCUGGCUGUGAGGAUUCCUGCAUGGAAACAUCAACAUGUUGCCAGAUUGGUAUACGACUCAACACCACACUGUUUGAUUGGAGUUGAGCUGAUCUUGUCUGAACCUAGCUGGGCCUGGUCCGGGGCGGCAAAUUAGAUUCAGACAUGCUGCUCCCAAACAGUGCCUUUGAAUCAAGACCCAGUCAUCGUAUUCGAAGAAAAAGGAAAUAUCCCUGACCAUGUUGGGACUUAACACUGCUUCACAGAGCUAAAACAUCCUUGGGCAUUACAUAUGAAACCAACAUACAAAGACUGUAAAAGUUGAAGAGAAGAAGGCAGAUAAGCUAGAGACUUUAGGACCCACAGAACAACGUGGUGGCAAGUUCCCUGGGCUUUCUUUUUGCCUCAUAUACCCCAGACCUGAAGCUGAAGAAGACAGCACCCUGGAAUGGUCACUGGAUAUAGAUGAAAACGACAAUAAUAACAAGUUGCUGUUUCUAGCCAAAGUGAUGGCAGCACAUGAUGGAUGCAGCAGGGAGGCUCGGCUGGGGCUGCACACUCCAUGGAGCCAGUAGAAGCCCCAUCCCUUCUGAGUUGGGGCAGGAGCUCCUAGGGUACUGCUGCAGCUGCCCAAACCACAGGCUGCAGACCCAAACUGCAGCUGUAGCCACCCAAACUGUGGCUGUGAAUCCGAGCUUCUCUGUGCUCUUGGGGGGAACCGGUAGUGGGCGGGAUCUGCCCUCCUGGGUGCCCAACCCACGGCUGCAGACCUGGGCCUCCCAUUCCACAGAGUAUACAGGAGCUGGGGACAAGUGGAAGCCCUGCCCCUUCCGAGUUUGCAGAGCAGAAGCUCCCCGAGUGCUGCUGCAGCAGCCCUCCCAGGAGCAAGGCCUGGGCAUCUCUGCAGCCUGUGUCCUCAGGGCCCAGGAAGGGUUUCCCAAUCCCUGUAGGCUCAGAGGUGUCUGCUCCUGUUGUCUGGCCUCUCUCCUUUCCCUGUGCCAGCUCCAGUCUUGGAGCAGGGUUGGCAAUGUGCGCCAGGGGCCAUGAAUGGCAGCAGGAGUCAGCUAGAUCCCUGGGUGGAAAACAAUAGUCCAGGGUAAGGCCUCACCUUCAGGCCAGGGAGAGGCUGAAGGCUGGGGGCUUGACUGCCAGUCCACAGACCAGAAUAGGGAGUUGUAGUGCCUCCUGCUGCCUGCCCGUUGUCACCUGUGGAUCAAUCUGUAUGCACUUCCUCCCCUCUGAGGUCCAUAAAAGCCCCAGGUUCAGCCAGAGCAGGGCAGAGGACAGAGGACAGAGAGAUGACAGGAUGACCAGCCUGCAGAGAGGAGCUACCCUCUCCAGGGCCUCCUCUCUGCUGAGAGCUGAACACUUGACAGGACGACCUGCCUACAGAGAGGAGCUACCCACUGCAGGUCUCCUCUGAGCUGUUCUAACACUAAAUAAAGCUCCUCUUCAUCUUCUUCACCCUU